UACGAAGGGGGCUAGCGUUGCUCGGAAUCACUGGGCGUAAAGCGCACGUAGGCGGCUUUUUAAGUCAGGGGUGAAAUCCUGGAGCUCAACUCCAGAACUGCCUUUGAUACUGAGAGGCUUGAGUCCGGGAGAGGUGAGUGGAACUGCGAGUGUAGAGGUGAAAUGCAUAGAUACCAUCAAGAACACCGAUUGCGAAGGCAGCUAACUAGGCUGUAACUGACGCUGAGGCACGAAAGUGUGGGGAUCAAACAGG
rnacentral:rRNA from 1 species